UACGUAGGGUGCAAGCGUUAAUCGGAAUUACUGGGCGUAAAGCGUGCGCAGGCGGUUUUGUAAGUCUGUUGUGAAAUCCCCGGGCUCAACCUGGGAAUGGCAAUGGAGACUGCAAGGCUAGAGUUUGGCAGAGGGGGGUAGAAUUCCACGUGUAGCAGUGAAAUGCGUAGAUAUGUGGAGGAACACCGAUGGCGAAGGCAGCCCCCCUGGGUCAAAAACUGACGCUCAUGCACGAAAGCGUGGGGGGAGCAAACAGG
rnacentral:rRNA from 1 species